ensembl:lncRNA
UAUGUAUCUAUGUGUGUGUUUGUGUGUAUGUAUCUAUGUGUGUGUUUGUGUGUAUGUAUCUAUGUGUGUGUUUGUGUCUAUGUAUCUAUGUGUGUGUGUGUGUGUAUGUGUGUAUGUAUCUAUGUGUGUGUGUGUGUGUAUGUAUCUAUGUGUGUGUGUGUGUGUGUGUAUCUAUGUGUGUGUGUGUGUGUGUGUGUGUGUGUGUGUGUAUGUAUCUAUGUGUGUGUGUGUGUGUGUGUGUGUGUAUGUAUCUAUGUGUGUGUUUGUGUCUAUGUAUCUAUGUAUCUAUGUGUGUGUGUGUGUGUAUGUAUCUAUGUGUGUGUGUGUGUGUAUGUAUCUAUGUGUGUGUUUGUGUCUAUGUAUCUAUGUAUCUAUGUGUGUGUGUGUGUGUGUAUCUAUGUGUGUGUGUGUGUGUGUGUGUAUCUAUGUGUGUGUGUGUGUGUGUGUGUGUGUGUGUGUGUGUGUGUGUGUGUGUGUGUGUGUGUGUGUGUGUGUGUGUGUAUG